GUGGGGAAUAUUGCACAAUGGGGGAAACCCUGAUGCAGCGACGCCGCGUGAAGGAAGAAGUAUCUCGGUAUGUAAACUUCUAUCAGCAGGGAAGAUAGUGACGGUACCUGACUAAGAAGCCCCGGCUAACUACGUGCCAGCAGCCGCGGUAAUACGUAGGGGGCAAGCGUUAUCCGGAUUUACUGGGUGUAAAGGGAGCGUAGACGGACUGGCAAGUCUGAUGUGAAAGGCGGGGGCUCAACCCCUGGACUGCAUUGGAAACUGUUAGUCUUGAGUGCCGGAGAGGUAAGCGGAAUUCCUAGUGUAGCGGUGAAAUGCGUAGAUAUUAGGAGGAACACCAGUGGCGAAGGCGGCUUACUGGACGGUAACUGACGUUGAGGCUCGAAAGCGUGGGGAGCAAACAGGAUUAGAAACCCGAGUAGUCC
rnacentral:rRNA from 1 species